rnacentral:rRNA from 1 species
AAGGACAUGUGGACAGUAUACGAGUGAGAAUGUUGGCAUGAGUAGCGAGACGUGGGUGAGAAUCCCACGGGCCGUAAACCCAAGGUUUCCAGGGAAAGGUUCGUCCGCCCUGGGUUAGUCGGGACCUAAGCCGAGGCCGAAAGGCGUAGGUGAUGGACAACAGGUUGAUAUUCCUGUACCGCCGAUAGGCGUUUGAGAGAUGGAGUGACACAGUAGGAUAAGCUAACCGUACUGUUGGUUAUGUACGGCUAAGCAUUGAGGCAGUCUAAAUAGGCAAAUCCGUUUAGACAAUGCUAGGAUGUGAUGGGGAAGCCCUUCGGGGCGAAGUAGCUGAUUUCACACUGUCAAGAAAAGCUUCUAUCGAGUUUAAAGGCGCCCGUACCGUAAACCGACACAGGUGGGUGAGGAGAGUAUCCUAAGGCCAGCGAGAGAACUAUUGUUAAGGAACUCGGCAAAAUGACCCCGUAACUUAGGGAGAAGGGGUGCCUGUCUAUGACAGGCCGCAGAGAAUAGGCCCAAGCGACUGUUUACCAAAAACACAGGUUUCUGCUAAGUCGCAAGACGAUGUAUAGGAGCUGACGCCUGCCCGGUGCUGGAAGGUUAAGGGGAUCUGUUAGAGCAAUCGAAGCAGUGAACUUAAGCCCCAGUAAACGGCGGCCGUAACGAUAACGGUCCUAAGGUAGCGAAAUUCCUUGUCGGGUAAGUUCCGACCCGCACGAAAGGCGUAACGAUUUGGGCACUGUCUCAACAAUAGACUCGGUGAAAUUGUAAUCCCGGUGAAGAUGCCGGGUACCUGCGACAGGACGGAAAGACCCCAUGGAGCUUUACUGUAGCUUGACGUUGGGUCUUGGUACUACAUGUACAGGAUAGGUGGGAGACUAUGAAGCAUGGACGCCAGUCUGUGUGGAGUUAUCCUUGGGAUACCACCCUUGUAGUACUGGGAUCCUAACCAUAGGCCUUGAAUCAGGUCUUGGAACACCGUCAGGUGGGCAGUUUGACUGGGGCGGUCGCCUCCUAAAAAGUAACGGAGGCGCUCAAAGGUUUCCUCAGCACGGUCGGAAAUCGUGCGAAGAGUGUAAAGGCAAAAGGAAGCUUGAUUGCAAGACAUACAGGUCGAGCAAGGACGAAAGUCGGACUUAGUGAUCCGGUGGUACCGCAUGGAAGGGCCAUCGCUCAACGGAUAAAAGCUACCCUGGGGAUAACAGGCUUAUCUCCCCCAAGAGUCCACAUCGACGGGGAGGUUUGGCACCUGAUGUCGGCUCAUCACAUCCUGGGGCUGUAGUAGGUCCCAAGGGUUGGGCUGUUCGCCCAUUAAAGUGGUACGCGAGCUGGGUUCAGAACGUCGUGAGACAGUUCGGUCCCUAUCCGUCGCAGGCGUAGGAAAUUUGAGAAGACCUGUCCUUAGUACGAGAGGACCGGGAUGGACGUACCUCUGGUGUACCAGUUGUUCUGCCAAGGGCAUGGCUGGGUAGCUAUGUACGGAAUGGAUAAGCGCUGAAAGCAUCUAAGCGCGAAGCCAACUUCAAGAUAAGAUUUCCCACCGUAAGGGUAAGACCCCAGGAAGACUACCUGGUUGAUAGGUCGAAGGUGUAAGUGCAGUAAUGUAUUUAGCUUAUCGAUACUAAUAGGUCGAGGACUUGACC